rnacentral:rRNA from 1 species
CCUACGGGAGGCAGCAGUAGGGAAUUGUUCGCAAUGGGCGAAAGCCUGACGACGCAACGCCGCGUGGAGGACGAAGAUCUUCGGGUUGUAAACUCCUGUCGAGCGGGAAGAACGGCGCGCCGGUUAAUACCCGGCGCGUGUGACGGUACCGCUAAAGGAAGCCCCGGCUAACUCCGUGCCAGCAGCCGCGGU